rnacentral:sRNA from 1 species
GUCUUUUAAAAAAAAAAAAAAAAAAAAAAAGCCAGUUCUGAAGAAGAAAGGCACGGUGGGUAAUGAAGCCUGAGCCAGCAGCAGACUGAAGGGAGGCUAUGAAAACAUGCAAGGGGAAGAUAAUGAAGAAAGCCUAGGGGAUUUUUGGCUUUUUGGUAUAUUGGGGUGUUUUCUUAAUUGUUUUGUUUUUAAGACAGGAUUUCUGUGUGUAGCCCUGGCCGUCCUGGAACUUGCUCUAGACCAAGGCCUGCCUCUGCCUUCCAAGUGCUGGGAUUAAAGGUGUGUGACAUCACCGCCUGACAAGUUUAUGGGGUUUACUAAAAAAGUACCUAGCUACAAAGUUCCCAGUCGAAACAAGAUUACAUCAAGGCCUAUCACCAACUGUCAAAAUUCAGGGGCCACUGAGGCUAAAGAGUUGGCUCAGCAGUUAAGAGUGUGCGACGCUCUUGCCAAGGACGUAAAUUGUUUCCACUCUGCAUUUUGGAUGGUUCACAAUUGCCUGUAACUCCAGAUCGAGGAGGAUCCAAUGACUUGGCUUCAGCACUUCACUUACAGGUGUAUGCUUGUAUGUGUACAUACACGUACACACAUGCAUACACACAGCACUUGAUCUGACAUCAUGUGGUUCAGUCUCCCAGACCCACAUGGGAGGUUGGGGGUAGAAAACAAACUCCUCCCAAGUUGUCCUCUUCCUUCCCACCCCGAAAUAAAUAAAAUUUAUUUAAAAAGAUUUUUUUAGAGUUGGUUACAAAGGAAGUUAUACCAGAUCAACUAUUAAUGAAUAAAAUGCAUAGAUAUUAGAAUUAUAUCCCAUGCUUAAAACACAGCACUAGGGUUAAAUGUAAGCAUCCCAAUUCUUGUCAAGCCGUGACUGAAAAUACAAGAUAAACACCAGUAAACACUACUUUAGCACAGAUUCUGUGAAACAAGGACCACGUGGAAAUCAGGAAAUUAAGAUCAGGAAAUAAAAACUAGCUUGAUCAGUGUAGCAGGACCCUGGGAGGGAGGGAGGACAGGAACUUGUGGGUUUGGAUAUUCCAGGAACAACGUAGGGAAAGAGAGGGUGAAAUAUUUUUUAGGGCGUCUGUUUAAUCCAGCUUAUGUUAUAUGAAUAGGUCAAGUGAGGAAAAUUGCAUCUCCAAUCAAGAUCUCCAUUCAACACAUGGAGAGGAUCCUUCGCCAUUAUCAAAUCUAAACUACAGCAACAUCUACAUGGAGAAUGGAAUUGAACCUUCAUCUAAUAUGUGUGUGCAUGUCAACUCAAGGGCCUGGAGAGAGAGGACUUAAUUGCUGCUAAAUGCCAAAGGACCUGGGUUCCAUUCCCAGUACUGUGGCAGCUCAUAACCAUAUGAAACCCAGGGGAUCCAACACCCUCCUGUGGCCUCCAUGGGCAUUGCAUGUGCUUGUGUAGAGAUGUGUGAACCAUCCAUGCACAUUAAAUAUUUAAAAACUCAAAAGCAUAAGACUUGUGUAACUCUAAAACACAAAACUGGAAAAACCA